CCUAUGGGCGGCGUAUGCGCGGGGGCUUUGUGCCCGUCGGUAUCCUUGGAGGCCGGUCUGUCAACCGAGCAUAUGCCGCCCUUU
rnacentral:antisense_RNA from 1 species